AUCAACGCUGGCGGCGUGCCUCAGACAUGCAAGUCGAACGAUUAAAGCUCUCUUCGGAGAGUGUAUAGAGUGGCGCACGGGUGAGUAACACGUAAGUAAUCUACCUUCGAGUGGGAAUAACGUCCGGAACGGACGCUAAUACCGCAUAAUGCAGCGGCAUCGCAAGAUGACAGUUGUUAAAGGAGCAAUUCGCUUGAAGAGGAGCUUGCGGCAGAUUAGCUAGUUGGUAAGGUAAUGGCUUACCAAGGCUACGAUCUGUAACCGGUCUAAGAGGACGGUCGGUCACACUGACACUGAAUAACGGGUCAGACUCCUACGGGAGGCAGC
rnacentral:rRNA from 1 species